UCGCAAAUAAAUUCAUCUCUAAAACUCUCUUUCCUUGUAGUGUGGGGCAAGCUAGGGAAUUUGGGAUCCCCAGAAAACUUGCUUAAUCAAGACAUAGGGCAGAUCAUCAACUUGCUCGAAAGAGAUUUGAAUGCAUGCACGAGUGUGCCACCAACAUUGGUCUAGCAAAAGCAAAAGCAUUAGAAGGACAUUGACCUGGAUAGGGAUGUAGUAUUGAGCUAUAGUAAAAGAGUGGAGUGCUAGGCUAUGAUAAAGGUGAAGCAUUAGGCUACAGUAAGGGUGCAACAUUAGGUUGCAGUAGAAGAUC
rnacentral:lncRNA from 1 species